rnacentral:pre_miRNA from 14 species
UUGGCCACCUGGCUCUGAGAACUGAAUUCCAUAGGCCGUGAGCUCUAGCAAAUGCCCUGGGGACUCAGUUCUGGUGCCCGGCUGUGCUGC